UACGAAGGGGGCUAGCGUUGAUCGGAAUUACUGGGCGUAAAGGGUGCGUAGGUGGUUUUUUAAGUCCGUUGUGAAAUCCCUGGGCUCAACCUGGGAAUGGCAGUGGAUACUGGAAAGCUAGAAUGCGGUAGAGGGUAGUGGAAUUCCCGGUGUAGCAGUGAAAUGCGUAGAGAUCGGGAGGAACACCAGUGGCGAAGGCGGCUACCUGGACCAGCAUUGACACUCAAGCACGAAAGCGUGGGGAGCAAACAGG
rnacentral:rRNA from 1 species